rnacentral:rRNA from 1 species
UACGGAGGGUGCUAGCGUUGUUCGGAAUUACUGGGCGUAAAGGGCGCGUAGGCGGCCGUUUGCGUCGGAUGUGAAAGCCCGGGGCUCAACCUCGGAACGGCAUUCGAUACGGGACGGCUGGAGACCGGGAGAGGCGAGUGGAAUAGCCAGUGUAGAGGUGAAAUUCGUAGAUAUGGGGUGGAACACCGGUGGUGAAGGCGGCCAUCUGGACGGUAACUGACGCUGAGACGCGAAAGCGUGGGGAGCAAACAGG